rnacentral:rRNA from 1 species
GACGAACGCUGGCGGCGUGCCUAAUACAUGCAAGUAGAACGCACAGUUUAUACCGUAGCUUGCUACACCAUAGACUGUGAGUUGCGAACGGGUGAGUAACGCGUAGGUAACCUGCCUGGUAGCGGGGGAUAACUAUUGGAAACGAUAGCUAAUACCGCAUAAUAUUAAUUAUUGCAUGAUAAUUAAUUGAAAGGUGCAAUUGCACCACUACCAGAUGGACCUGCGUUGUAUUAGCUAGUAGGUGAGGUAACGGCUCACCUAGGCGACGAUACAUAGCCGACCUGAGAGGGUGAUCGGCCACACUGGGACUGAGACACGGCCCAGACUCCUACGGGAGGCAGCAGUAGGGAAUCUUCGGCAAUGGACGAAAGUCUGACCGAGCAACGCCGCGGGGGUGAAGAAGGUUUUCGGAUCGAAAAGCUCUGUUGUAAGGGAAGAACGGGUGUGAGAGUGGAAAGUUAACACGGUGACGGUAUCUACCAGAAAGGGACGGCUAACUACGUG